AUAACUUAGAUAUUUGUACAUUUUUCUGGAGACAUAAAUGAGGACUAAAGAAAACUCCUCAACUCUCCUGAGUGCAUACUUAGUAUAUGGGGUUUUGAUUACUGAGUUUGAUUUUGAUAAACUUUGAACCUUUUAUAAUAUUCUAUUUCUGUUAACAAUAUAUCUGCAAUCCGUAAGCAGGCACUUCAGAAUUUUAACACAUUCUAGAAUUUUAACACACUGUAGAAUUUUAAUGCAUUCUUCCUGUCACUAACUUAAUUUUUAGAGGAAUUCUGAGUAUGCAGCACUCUCCCGAAAAUACAGGGACAGUGGAGUGAGGCUUGAAACAAGAGCAGACUCGUGUUGUGUAGGACGAGCAGAAGGAUGAUCAUAAAGCUAACACCAUAUUGAAAUUCAUUCAUCUUUGCAAAGGAAGAGUAGUCAGUCUUGGGCCUCCACAUCACGUUUCAGACCAAUGCAUCAUAAGAAAUAGAAGCCAGAGAAAUGGAACAAUGCCUACUGUGUGAUUCUAGUUACAUAAAAUGGGAAAGGAAUUACAUGCAGGGAAAGUCAACCUUUGAUUUUUAAUGUUAGAAUUGUGAUCAUCUCUGAAGAAACAGAGGAGAAUCUUUGGCAAGAACCAUAAAGGGGUUUCUAUAAAUAUGGUAAAUCUGAAUUAUUAACCAAGACACUUUCAUGUGAAUAUGAACAAUGCUAUGCUAAAUUAUACUUCAAUUUAAAUCUUUUACAAUUACAGAAAUAGAAGCACCAGGCAUCAAGAAAACUUGGCAAGUGCUUACUUCUAGUAGCAAGUAAAAAUAUGACUCAAGGAUCAUAUGAUUUUGCUAUAGAGGGAAUUAUACUCGACAACUUCCUUUGGAGGAAAAACCACAAAGACUGCUUCUGCCUGUAGGAACAUUAGGACACCCACAGCAUCCUGCACCUGCAAGGAAUGGCUACUAUUAAUAAGUGAAUGCCUGUGGUAACCCCACUCAUGG
rnacentral:lncRNA from 1 species